CGUCUAACAUGCUGCGAACGACUUGAAAGUUUCACGCCACCAUCUUCGAUAGAGUGGGUGGAGUACAGAAGCUGUGAUUAUCAGGUCACGGAAACUGACAUCGAUCGGAGCUUCGAUAUCCAUUUUCACAAAAGAAAUGACUUUCACAGAUGGCUCACAAAUGGACAUAGGAACCGGAUCUGGCGUCUUCUCUCAGCAGUUUUUUCAGGCUGAGAUGUAUGCAAUCGACAUGGCGACAAAACUAUCAAGCUGCCAUCAAAGCCUUAGGGUCGCCAACGACUAACUUGAUAUGGGACAUAUAGGAAUACCGAAGAUCCCUAUAUUUACUGGGCCUCAGGACAUAGUGGUAUCCCGGGUAAUGAGGAAGCGGAAGGAUGUGCUACAAAGGGAUCUGAUAUAGGACUUGGGGAAACAAUCCAGAUUGUAAAACCUCCCCCUGCGAUUUCUAUCUUCAGAAGUUAGGAGAGUAACCAGGGCAGCAACCAAAAAUAGAUCCCACAAUAAACAAUCCAAACAUUAGGCCGCCAAGUUCGGAGUCCCGUAUAACGAUUUCUGCAGAAGCUGCAUAGAUGAGGAGGAGAUAGAAUCUGUCUAGCACUUCGUGUUGGGGAUCACUACUUCGAGAGCCUUGAUAUGUAUCUUAGGAAAUGCUCCACUGGAAGGACUGCUAGGAUUCGCUAGAGAAUCAGAAUGGUUCAAAGACAUACAUAUAUAAAUAGGCAUAGGAACAACGCCUGGGCAUCGCAUUGGGCCUUUGCGGUAGCCGAAUGAACUCUUACGCGAAAUUUUUGGCUUUGGGAAUUUUCAAUUGAAUAAAAAUGCAAAUUUCUUUAUACUAAAUAUAUUUUAUUCUGUAUUAUGUUUACAUUGUUUCAAAUAAAAUGUGUGUAACAUACAAAAACGUAUACAACUUAAAUAUGUAAGUACUUGAAAUGUUUACAGGAAGGUAUACUACAUUUGUGUAUAAAUUUGAUAAUACACUACACACAAAAAGAACUUGUAGAUAAUAAUUUGAGCAUUCAAAGAAUUUACUUAUUAUGCAUAUGCGUAUUAUAUUUAAAAUAAAGUGACCAAAAAAAAAAAAUAAACAAUCGUGUUUUUUUACUUUAUUCAUAAAGUCAUGCGUAUUAUAUACUGACAUAAAUAUAUACAACAUGCAUAAGUGUGUAUACAUAUUUUUAUUUUAUGUAUUCCGUUUCUAAAGUUUAAUUUGUUCCAUUACCACUGACAUCAUGAUAUGGAACUGUACUUAUUCUAAUUUAAAAAAAAAAAA